GUUCUUCCUUCUGAAUCAGCUUGGUCUACAUGAUAAUUUUCUUGUCUCCAGACUUCCAGAAAGGGAAAAGAAAGCAAUUAUUUUCACUCAACUGAUGUGAACUUAAAGGUUCUUUAAGCUAGCUGUCCAACUGCUCUACCUGUCCACGCAGCUUUCCAAGACAACCAAACUGAAGAUAGUAUGCUUAGUGCUGUACCAGCAUAUGUCUGGAGGCCUACAAAGAAGGGAACAGAAAACAAUGCAGAGGGACUCUGGAGAGGCAGGGGGAGCCCAUGGACACACACGACUAGCUCAAUAACCAGUUUGUUACACGAAGCCAUCUAGCAUACCAUUCAAAUGAACAGCAUACAGCUUGGCCAUCGGACACCAGCCGGACCCCAACAACAAGGCAAAUAAGAGAAACGGACAACUUGUAUCUAGCUUCCCAAGUUCGACUUUGUCUAAGAUUGCGAGGCUCUGCUAACACGUCAAGUACGGCAGCAGCCCACAGCACCUGGUGCUGCAGAGCGUAGCUGCAAGAACUCAGAACGAUUCCAGCUUUGCCAUACUUCGUGAUUUCCUGCUCAGGACUGCUAAGCGAUUACUCACCCGAUACUAUAUGAGGAUUACUCAAAUGAAGGACCCGGACGAGAUGAGGAGUUUCACCUCAGCCCGCCCGGCUCCCCGUGCGGCAGCGCCCGUUCCGGCAGCAGCGCGCCGCUCCCAGCUGCUGCA
rnacentral:lncRNA from 1 species